rnacentral:rRNA from 1 species
GUUUGAUCCUGGCUCAGGACGAACGCUGGCGGCGUGCUUAACACAUGCAAGUCGAACGAUGAAGCCCAGCUUGCUGGGUGGAUUAGUGGCGAACGGGUGAGUAACACGUGGGUGAUCUGCCCUGCACUUCGGGAUAAGCCUGGGAAACUGGGUCUAAUACCGGAUAGGACCUCGGGAUGCAUGUUCCGGGGUGGAAAGGUUUUCCGGUGCAGGAUGGGCCCGCGGCCUAUCAGCUUGUUGGUGGGGUAACGGCCCACCAAGGCGACGACGGGUAGCCGGCCUGAGAGGGCGACCGGCCACACUGGGACUGAGACACGGCCCAGACUCCUACGGGAGGCAGCAGUGGGGAAUAUUGCACAAUGGGCGCAAGCCUGAUGCAGCGACGCCGCGUGAGGGAUGACGGCCUUCGGGUUGUAAACCUCUUUCAGUACCGACGAAGCGCAAGUGACGGUAGGUACAAAAGAAGCACCGGCCAACUACGUGCCAGCAGCCGCGGUAAUACGUAGGGUGCGAGCGUUGUCCGGAAUUACUGGGCGUAAAGAGCUCGUAGGCGGUUUGUCGCGUCGUCUGUGAAAACCCGCAGCUCAACUGCGGGCUUGCAGGCGAUACGGGCAGACUUGAGUACUGCAGGGGAGACUGGAAUUCCUGGUGUAGCGGUGAAGUGCGCAGAUAUCAGGAGGAACACCGGUGGCGAAGGCGGGUCUCUGGGCAGUAACUGACGCUGAGGAGCGAAAGCGUGGGUAGCGAACAGGAUUAGAUACCCUGGUAGUCCACGCCGUAAACGAUG